rnacentral:lncRNA from 1 species
CCUUUCUCCCUCUUCUUAAAAAAAAAAAACCACACAUUAGGGUUUGCACUGGUGCAUGCACGGUAAGAGAUCUCUUUACCUUGAUCUAGUUAAACUUAAUCCUGAAAUUGAACGGCUGUUUCACGUUAAAAUUGAAAAUCAAAUGGUCGAAAAUCCUAAAGAACCACCUAAACAGAUGAAAGAAUAUUUUAUUCCUUUCACCUAUAAUCCAUAGAUUUGUAUCUACUUACUUGAUAUC